AGAGAAGGAACUGAUGAAAAGAGAACAAGCAGUCGAGAAGAAAUAUCCCGGGACCUACAAACGCCAUCUUGUCCGACCCAUCGUCAGGUCCAACGCUGUUGAGAAGCUCAUCAAGAAAAAAGGCAGCAUCUCACACAAACCUGGAAUGCCAAGCACCAAAAGACCAGACCUCCUGCGCUCUGAUGUCAUCCCCAGUCUGGACCCUCUUCCCGCCCCC